rnacentral:rRNA from 1 species
CCUACGGGAGGCUGCAGUGGGGAAUAUUGGACAAUGGGGGGAACCCUGAUCCAGCGACGCCGCGUGAGUGAAGAAGUAUUUCGGUAUGUUAAGCUCUAUCAGCAGGGAAGUAAAUGACGGUACCUGACUAAGAAGCCCCGGCUAACUACGGGCCAGCAGCCGCGGUAAUAUGUAGGGGGCAAGCGUUAUCCGGAUUUACUGGGUGUUAAGGGAGCGUAGGCGGUGCAGCAAGUCGGAUGUGAAAGGUUGGGGCCCAACCCCGGGACUGCAGUGGAAACUGUUGAACUGGAGUACAGGAGAGGUAGGCGGAAUGCGUGGUGUAGCGGUGAAAUGCGUAGAUAUUAGGAGGAACACCGAUGGCGAAGGCAGCUUACUGGACUGUAACUGACGUUGAGGCACGAAAGCGUGGGGAGCAAACAGGAUUAGAUACCCUAGUAGUC